UUCCAGCACCCCACAAAUGAGUGGUGAGGCUCUUGUGGUGGUUUAUGGGGCUGGGGGGCAGGAGCAGGGGUAACGCUCCUCCGAUAACGAUUUUUGCAUUUUUUUCGCUUGGUGCUGAGCUGAGAGACAGGAUGAGGUCAAGCACGGAGCCUUGCUGCUGGUUUUACCUGAGCUCCCAUCUCACCGCAGCACCCACCAAACCAAAGCCAACGUCCACCGUUACGUUGCGGUCAGGCUGAAAACAGGGUCGGCGAUGUCUUCAGCUGCCUGGAAAUCGGGCUCCAGCCUCAGGUCAGGGCAUCCCCUGGGAUCCCACGAAGGACAGGCAGGCGGGAGGGUGCGUUUGGUACCACCACGGAACACCACGGGAUAUAAAAAGGCUGCAAGAAACCAUCUUCGAAGAGAAGAGGAGGAAGCAAAACAGCAUCUCAAGGGCUUUGAAGAUGCAGUUGAGUCAAUUUCUAAAUAGCUGCCAGAGAUUGCAGAAGUUCUGAAUAUUUCUGAAAUAAUUCCCAACAGAUUAUUCCUUAUUAGUGGGUAAGUUCCUGGAGAGGGUGAAGGAGACGGUCAUCCUUGACGAGAUGCUUGAACAAGCCAACUGCGGUCGCUCCGUCAUUUCUGCUGCAGACCUGCAGAAAGGGGACGGCGUUCCCGAGGGAGGGAAGGCUGGCACUGAGCCAGCACACUCCAGCCCAACGGGGGGACUGGUGGCAUCUCAAGAGCUUGUCCUAAAAGCAUGGAACCCCUCUGGAUCGGGGGCGGGGGGGAAGCACCAUAGUUCCCACGGUUCCUGGCCAUCCUGGUACAGCCCCGGUCACCAUAACACCCACCCCCACUUCUGGAAGAAGAAAGCAGCAAUAAUUAGACAACAGGAGGUGAUAGUCUCCUUCCAUACCACCCCUCUCCCUUAAUUUUUUCUUUCCCCAGCAGCCACGGGAAUAACCAAAUUUGCAUCUUUUGGCCAAAAAGACUGACCCUCCUGACCCCUUCCCUGCCGGAUUCCGUGCUGCUAACACUCCAAAGGCGGGGGCAGAGGAAAAAAGCUGGUUUUUUAUGUGCUGGAGCGAGUAAAAGCCACCGGGAAAAUACCAGAUAAAGGUGAAUGAAUUAGUUUUAUCUAUUAAAAAUACAUUUAUUGUUUGUUCAGUCCUACCAAGGCCAGAGAUGAGAGACAGACAAGGAAACCAGGGGGGUUUAGCCCAGCUCCGACGUGAGGAUAAAGCAGCUUCGUUGACAGAACUGCCCACAGUUGGGUUUUGUUGUUGUUGGUUUUAAAAAAGAUAAAGUUUGCCGUUGCUGAACGUA